GGGUCAUACCGACUUACCAAACCGAUGCAAACUCCGAAUACCGAUGAGUGCUAUCCGGGAGACACACGGCGGGUGCUAACGUCCGUCGUGAAGAGGGAAACAACCCAGACCGCCAGCUAAGGUCCCCAAGUACCAGUUAAGUGGGAAACGAUGUGGGAAGGCUCAGACAGCUAGGAGGUUGGCUUAGAAGCAGCCAUCCUUUAAA
rnacentral:rRNA from 14 species